rnacentral:misc_RNA from 1 species
GAUGAAGAACGCAGCGAAAUGCGAUAAGUAAUGUGAAUUGCAGAAUUCAGUGAAUCAUCGAAUCUUUGAACGCACAUUGCGCCCAUUAGUAUUCUAGUGGGCAUGCCUGUUCGAGCGUCAUUUCAACCCUUAAGCCUAGCUUAGUAUUGGGAAUCGACUUUACUGUCGUUCCUCAAAUUCAACGGCGGAUUUAUAGCAAUCUCUGAACGUAGUAAUUUUUUUCCUCGUUUUUGGAAUACUAUAAACCUCAGCCGCUAAACCCCCAAUUUUUUUAUGGUUGACCUCGGAUCAGGUAGGAAUACCCGCUGAACUUAAGCAUAUCAAUAAGCGGAGGA